UGGGGAAUAUUGCACAAUGGGCGAAAGCCUGAUGCAGCAACGCCGCGUGAGUGAUGAAGGUCUUCGGAUUGUAAAGCUCUGUCUUUUGGGACGAUAAUGACGGUACCAAAGGAGGAAGCCACGGCUAACUACGUGCCAGCAGCCGCGGUAAUACGUAGGUGGCGAGCGUUGUCCGGAUUUACUGGGGCGUAAAGGGUGCGUAGGCGGAUGUUUAAGUGAGAUGUGAAAUACCCGGGCUUAACUUGGGUGCUGCAUUUCAAACUGGAUAUCUAGAGUGCAGGAGAGGAGAAUGGAAUUCCUAGUGUAGCGGUGAAAUGCGUAGAGAUUAGGAAGAACACCAGUGGCGAAGGCGAUUCUCUGGACUGUAACUGACGCUGAGGCACGAAAGCGUGGGUAGCAAACAGGAUUAGAUACCCUGGUAGUCCACGCCGUAAACGAUGAGUACUAGGUGUAGGAGGUAUCGACCCCUUCUGUGCCGCAGUAAACACAUUAAGUACUCCG
rnacentral:rRNA from 1 species